UACGAGAGGUGCGAGCGUUAUUCGGAAUUAUUGGGCGUAAAGGGUGCGCAGACGGUUUGUUAAGUCAAUUGUUUAAUUCCUCGGCCUAACUGAGGAUCAGCAGUAGAAACUGAUAAGCUAGAGUAUGAGAGAGAGGAGCGGAAUUCUCGGAGUAGCGGUAAAAUGCGUAGAUCUCGAGAGGAACACCGAUGGCGAAGGCAGCUCCUUGGCUCAUUACUGACGUUCAUGCACGAAAGCGUGGGGAGCAAACAGG
rnacentral:rRNA from 1 species